GCGGUAGCUCAGUUGGUAGAGCACUUGCCUGAUAUGCUUGAAGCCCUCGAUUUGAUCCCCAGAAUUGCA
rnacentral:tRNA from 1 species